CCUACGGGCGGCAGCAGUGGGGGAUAUUGCACAAUGGGGGAAACCCUGAUGCAGCGACGCCGCGUGAGUGAAGAAGCGCCUCGGCGCGUAAAGCCCUGUCAGCAGGGAAGAAAAUGACGGUACCUGAAGAAGAAGCCCCGGCUAACUACGGGCCAGCAGCCGCGGUGAGACGUAGGGGGCAAGCGUUAUCCGGCUUUACUGGGUGUAAAGGGGGCGCAGACGGCGAUGCAAGCCAGGAGUGAAAGGCCGGGGCCCAACCCCGGGACUGCUCUGGGAAGUGCGUGGGUAGAGUGCAGGAGGGGCAGGCGGAAUUCCUGGUAUAGCGGUGAAAUGCGUAGAUAUCAGGAGGAACACCGGUGGCGAAGGCGGCCUGCUGGACUGCAACUGACGUUGAGGCCCGAAAGCGUGGGGAGCAAACAGGAUUAGAUACCCUAGUAGUC
rnacentral:rRNA from 1 species